UACGUAGGUGGCAAGCGUUGUCCGGAUUUACUGGGCGUAAAGGGCGUGCAGGCGGUUUGUCUAGUCUAGGGUGAAAGCUCCCGGCUUAACUGGGGAGAGGUCCUUGGAUACUGGCAAACUUGAGGGAGGCAGAGGAAAGUGGAAUUCCCGGUGUAGUGGUGAUAUGCGUAGAUAUCGGGAGGAACACCAGUGGCGAAGGCGGCUUUCUGGGCCUUACCUGACGCUGAGACGCGAAAGCGUGGGGAGCGAACCGGG
rnacentral:rRNA from 1 species